UAUUUAACAAUUAUUCCCCGAUAAUCACCAAGCCUGAGGCGAAUAAUUGUUUUAGUAUUUUUACACAAGUCUUUUGUGUUUUUGGGAUUGAAUAUAUAUUUUAAUUUCGCUUAUUUCUUUAUCAGUAACUUUCACAAAACAGCUAACCGCUGUUUUGAAAAUUUCGGUUUUGUUGUAUUCACCUGUAGGUGAAUAUAACGGCUUAC